UACGGGGGGGGCAAGCGUUGUUCGGAAUUACUGGGCGUAAAGGGCGCGUAGGCGGCCUUCUAAGUCAGACGUGAAAUCCCUCGGCUCAACCGAGGAACUGCGUCUGAUACUGGAAGGCUUGAAUCCGGGAGAGGGAUGUGGAAUUCCAGGUGUAGCGGUGAAAUGCGUAGAUAUCGGGAGGAACACCAGUGGCGAAGGCGACUACCUGGCCUGUUCUUGACGCUGAGGCGCGAAAGCUAGGGGAGCAAACGGG
rnacentral:rRNA from 1 species